rnacentral:rRNA from 1 species
CACCAGCGCCACGAGUGGCUACCACGAUUAUUGGGCCUAAAGCGUCCGUAGUCGGAUUUGCGCAUCUUCUGUGAAAUCGCUGCGCUUAACGUAGCGGCAUGCGGAAGACACGGCAAAUCUUGAGAUCGGGAGGCGUCAGGGGUAUUCCUGGGGGACCGGUAAAAUGGUAUAAUCCCAGGAGGACCACCUGUGGCGAAGGCGCCUGACGAGAACGAAUCUGACGAUGAGGGACGAAAGCCAGGGGAGCAAACCGG